rnacentral:rRNA from 1 species
AGAGUUUGAUCAUGGCUCAGAUUGAACGCUGGCGGCAGGCCUAACACAUGCAAGUCGAGCGAGAAAGCACUUCGGUGUGAGUAGAGCGGCGGACGGGUGAGUAACGCGUAGGAAUUUGCCCAGUAGUGGGGGACAACAUGUGGAAACGCAUGCUAAUACCGCAUACGCCCUAAGGGGGAAAGCAGGGGAUCUUCGGACCUUGCGCUAUUGGAGAAGCCUGCGUCGGAUUAGCUAGUUGGUGGGGUAAAGGCCCACCAAGGCGACGAUCCGUAGCUGGUCUGAGAGGAUGAUCAGCCACACUGGGACUGAGACACGGCCCAGACUCCUACGGGAGGCAGCAGUGGGGAAUAUUGGACAAUGGGCGAAAGCCUGAUCCAGCCAUGCCGCGUGUGUGAAGAAGGCCUUAGGGUUGUAAAGCACUUUCAGUAGGGAGGAAAAGCUGUCGGUUAAUAACCGCCAGCCCUGACGUUACCUACAGAAGAAGCACCGGCAAACUCCGUGCCAGCAGCCGCGGUAAUACGGAGGGUGCGAGCGUUAAUCGGAAUUACUGGGCGUAAAGCGCGCGUAGGCGGCCUGAUAAGUUGGAUGUGAAAGCCCUGGGCUCAACCUAGGAACUGCAUUCAAAACUGUCAGGCUAGAGUAUGGUAGAGGAUAGU